rnacentral:rRNA from 1 species
UGAGGAAUCUUGCGCAAUGGGGGAAACCCUGACGCAGCAACGCCGCGUGAGUGAGGAAGGUCUUCGGGUCGUAAAGCUCUGUCAGGCGGGAAGAAAUGCAUGGAGGUGAACAGCCGCCAUGCUUGACGGUACCGCCAGAGGAAGCACCGGCUAACUCCGUGCCAGCAGCCGCGGUAAUACGGGGGGUGCAAGCGUUGUUCGGAAUCAUUGGGCGUAAAGAGCGUGUAGGCGGCUUGGUAAGUCAGAUGUGAAAGCCCUGGGCUCAACUCAGGAAGUGCAUUUGAAACUGCCAGGCUCGAGUAGUGGAGAGGGAAGUGGAAUUCCUGGUGUAGAGGUGAAAUUCGUAGAUAUCAGGAGGAACACCGGUGGCGAAGGCGACUUCCUGGCCCUAUACUGACGCUGAGACGCGAGAGCGUGGGUAGCAAACAG